rnacentral:lncRNA from 10 species
AAGACAGAGAAUUCACGUGCUGCCCAGGCAUAGCCACAUAGCAGGUGGACAUCCCUGGACACUUUUCUGACCCUCAUUGGAUUUUCCUGGAAGUACGGAGAGUUACAUCCAGAGAACUCUGAACAUUUUGGAAGGACCCCAAUCCUGCAAACAAUGAAUGGCAAUAAAUCCUGGGACUGGAAAGAUUUCCUGAGUACUAACCAAAGUGACCUCAUUUGCAAUUCCCUAUCUAUGUCUGGGAAACAGAUAGAUUUGGUAUAAAGAUAAUACUGAAGACUGUGGAAUUCGGCAGUCUUGGAUUUGAAUCUCCUGUCUGCUGCUUUGUGCCACCUUGGCAAACCACUUAAGCUCUUUGUGUCUCAAUUCUUUCAUCUGU